UGUGUCAUCUGUUUCCUGGAUGGGGAGCUUGGCUAUGAGAGCUUUCAAACUAGUGUCAGCGCUGAUUAAAUUCUUCCUUUUCUUUUUCAUUUUUUCCUCAAUGUAAUCUUGUGCGUGAUCUUGGGUUAUGGGUGCAAUUAGUGUCGCUGUAAUGAAAAGACCUCAUGUAAAGAAGUCCUGUAAAUAUGUCAGCAACGCCGUUAUUUAUUCUAACUUAAGCUCAUGUUUUUGAGUUUCAGCCUCAUGUUCGGUUCUCCCCGUCCAUCUACAACUAAGCUAUCACAAUCUCACUUUCAAAUAAUAAGACAAAAUUUUGAAUUAACU
rnacentral:lncRNA from 1 species